rnacentral:lncRNA from 1 species
UCGCGCCGCACCCCGGGCGGGAGGAAGUAGCGCUCGUGCCGCACCCGGCACAGCAGCCGCCCGGGGUCGGGGUCGUGGCCAUCCAGCACCUCCAGCUCCACGGCCAAGGGCGUUCGCACGUCGCGCUUCACCAGCCGCACCAAAGGUUUCUCGGGCUCCAAGGCCCAGAGCAGCCCCAUGGGCUCAAGCCCCACGAAGCUGCCGCCCAGCGCGGGCGCGCGCUCCAGGUCCAGCUCGCCAAGGGUGUCGGCGCGGUAGCGCGCGUGGGCCUGGAAAAGCGCGCCCUUCUCGUCGCGCAGGGACGCGCGCAGCGUUACCGGCUGCUCCGGGGCUAGGCCGCGUACUGCGAUUCGCACUGGUUCGUCCCAGCAGCAGCGGCCCGCAGGCUCCAGGAUCAACGUCGCCGCCAUCCGAGCAGGAACCCUAAUGAUCUGACCAACCUGCCUCAGCUGUGGAGACCCCAGGAACUGCGCCGAACUCUUCAGGCUCCAUUGGUACAGCCGGGACGCUCGAAGGACAGCAGGAGAUGAGGCCAUUUUGAAUUCAGACCUGAGAACAACUGAAUGGGGGUGGGGAGAAAGAAGCUUGUUAGACAUCCUCUCGGGCUGCCGUCGCAGGCUAAGCGCCCACUAGGGCAGAGCUGUCUGCUAACGUGAGCGGGGAAGGCCAGAGUCCAGCCGAUCAGCCAGACCAAAUAUAGACACACUGGAACUUGCUUAAAGUCUCCUGUGUUGAAACCUCCACUUUAUGUUGGAAAGCUACUUCCUAGUUUUGCUUUUCAGAAGCUUGCUGGCCUGCGGAACGGGCUGGACCAGGGCUGGUUCUUAAAGAACCAGGCAGCUAGCAGUCUCCAGGCUCCAAACUCCUGAUGGCGAAGAGGAAUGCAGAGCUGGAGGUCUCACUACAUUGCCAGCCUGGAGUACAGCAGCAGUUUACCAUCACUGCACUUACAAACCUCCAACUCCUGGUGCUCAAGCCAUCUUCCUGACUCUGCCUCUCAAAUACCUCAAAGGACUACCGGAGCUCCCCAUGCAUCGCGCUUUUUUCUACUUUUUCAUAAGCUACUGGUUUCACCAGAGGUGUGUGUUUUUUUUUUCAUCACUUAAGCUUUAGGCCCCUGCCAAGCCCUUGUACCUGAUUUUAUAAUUUCCUACCUGUGUAAUUAGAGAAACCUAUAAAUGUGUAGGCUUCAAACCCACAAAACCUGUGUUUGCCUCUGCGCCUAAUAAGGCUGUCCUCAAGGUAAGCCUUUUUAUCUCGUUCCAAAUCUCUCAUGUCCC